UGGGGAAUAUUGGACAAUGGGCGAAAGCCUGAUCCAGCCAUGCCGCGUGUGUGAAGAAGGUCUUCGGAUUGUAAAGCACUUUAAGUUGGGAGGAAGGGCAGUAAGCGAAUACCUUGCUGUUUUGACGUUACCGACAGAAUAAGCACCGGCUAACUCUGUACCAGCAGCCGCGGUAAUACAGAGGGUGCAAGCGUUAAUCGGAAUUACUGGGCGUAAAGCGCGCGUAGGUGGUUCGUUAAGUUGAAUGUGAAAGCCCCGGGCUCAACCUGGGAACUGCAUCCAAAACUGGCGGGCUAGAGUAGGGCAGAGGGUGGUAGAAUUUCCUGUGUAGCGGUGAAAUGCGUAGAUAUAGGAAGGAACACCAGUGGCGAAGGCGACCACCUGGGCUCAUACUGACACUGAGGUGCGAAAGCGUGGGGAGCAAACAGG
rnacentral:rRNA from 1 species